rnacentral:sRNA from 1 species
AAAGAAAUAAUGAAUUCACAUAUUACAAAGAGUAAUCAUGUUUGAUUCGAUACUUUUUGUAAUAUGUGAAUUUUUUCUUUUGAAGAAAUAUGAUAUUAUUUAAUACAAUUAAUGGAGGUCAUUUAAAUGACACAACAAGGUACAGUAAAAUGGUUUAACGCAGAAAAAGGUUUCGGUUUCAUCGAAGUUGAAGGCGGAAACGACGUAUUCGCUCACUUCUCAGCUAUCCAAGGUGACGGUUUCAAAUCACUUGACGAAGGUCAAAAAGUUGAAUUCUCAGUAGAAGACGGCCAACGUGGACCACAAGCUACAAACAUCGUAAAACUUUAAUUUUUAAUGAUGUAAAACAUAAAAGAGGUAUCCUUUCAUUAGGAUGCCUCUUUUU